GAUGAACGCUAGCUACAGGCUUAACACAUGCAAGUCGAGGGGUCUCAAGGGAGCUUGCUUCUGCGAGACGACCGGCGCACGGGUGAGUAACGCGUAUCCGACCUGCCCAUGACUCGGGCACAGCCGCUCGAAAGAGCGAUUGAUUCCCGAUAUGUCUAUGAAGUAGAUUCAUGGAUGAAAGAUUCAUCGGUCAUGGAUGGGGAUGCGUAAGAUUAGGUAGUAGGCGGGGUAACGGCCCACCUAGCCGACGAUCUUUAGGGGUUCUGAGAGGAAGGUCCCCCACACUGGUACUGAGACACGGACCAGACUCCUACGGGAGGCAGCAGUGAGGAAUAUUGGUCAAUGGGCGGAAGCCUGAACCAGCCAAGUAGCGUGAAGGAUUACUGCCCUACGGGUUUUAAACUCUUUUAUGCGAGAGUAAUGUGCGCUACGUGUAGCGUAUUGCAAGUAUCGCAUGAAUAAGCAUCGGCUAACUCCGUG
rnacentral:rRNA from 1 species